AUUGAACGCUGGCGGCAUGCCUUACACAUGCAAGUCGAACGGUAACGGGUCCUUCGGGAUGCCGACGAGUGGCGAACGGGUGAGUAAUAUAUCGGAACGUGCCCAGUAGUGGGGGAUAACUGCUCGAAAGAGCAGCUAAUACCGCAUACGACCCGAGGGUGAAAGGGGGGGAUCGCAAGACCUCUCGCUAUUGGAGCGGCCGAUAUCAGAUUAGCUAGUUGGUGGGGUAAGGGCCUACCAAGGCAACGAUCUGUAGUUGGUCUGAGAGGACGACCAGCCACACUGGGACUGAGACACGGCCCAGACUCCUACGGGAGGCAGCAGUGGGGAAUUUUGGACAAUGGGCGCAAGCCUGAUCCAGCAAUGCCGCGUGCAGGAAGAAGGCCUUCGGGUUGUAAACUGCUUUUGUCAGGGAAGAAAUCUUCUGGGCUAAUACCCCGGGAGGAUGACGGUACCUGAAGAAUAAGCACCGGCUAACUACGUGCCAGCCGCCGCGGUAA
rnacentral:rRNA from 1 species